rnacentral:rRNA from 1 species
GACGAACGCUGGCGGCGUACCUAAGACAUGCAAGUCGGACGGCCCUUCUAUGGGGGGCGAGUGGCGGACGGGUGAGGAACGCGUGGGGAACCGUGUCUUUGGGUUGGGGGAGUAACGCAUUGAAAAAUAGCGCUAAGACCGCAUGAGGUCUCUCUGGGAGGAACGGGAGAAGAAAGGCCCGUGGGGACUACGGGACGCCGAAAGAGGGGCCUGCGUCCGAUUAGCUGGUUGGAGGGGUAACGGCCCACCAAGGCGACGAUCGGUAGCUGGUCUGAGAGGAUGAUCAGCCACACUGGGACUGAGACACGGCCCCAGACUCCUACGGGAGGCAGCAGUUAGGGAAUUUUCACAAUGGGCGCAAGCCUGAUGGAGUAACGCCGCGUGGGUGAUGAAAGGUUUUUCGGAUCGUAAAGCCCUUUUCUGGGAACGAUAAAUGACGGUCCCUCAGGAAGAAGCCUCGGCUAACUACGUGCCAGCAGCCGCCG